ensembl:snRNA U1 U1 spliceosomal RNA
AUAGGUAGCUGGCAGGGGAGGUGCCCUGGUCACGAAAGCAGUUUCCCAGCACAAGGUUUAUCUGUUGUACUCCAGAUGUGCUGACCCCUGUGAUAUCCCCAAAUAUGGGGAACUUGACUACUUAAUUUGUGGCAGUGGGGGGGCGACGUUGGCGCUCUCCCCUG